CAGCAGCCACGGUAAUACGUAGGGUGCGAGCGUUAAUCGGAAUUACUGGGCGUAAAGCGUGCGCAGGCGGUUCGUUAAGACAGAUGUGAAAUCCCCGGGCUUAACCUGGGAACUGCAUUUGUGACUGGCGAGCUAGAGUAUGGCAGAGGGGGGUAGAAUUCCACGUGUAGCAGUGAAAUGCGUAGAGAUGUGGAGGAAUACCGAUGGCGAAGGCAGCCCCCUGGGCCAACACUGACGCUGAGGCACGAAAGCGUGGGGAGCAAGCAGGAUUAGAGACCCGAGUAGUCCCUGUCUCUUAUAC
rnacentral:rRNA from 1 species